UGGGUGGUUUUGCAGGCGUCUCCUGCAUGGCGGGCGACCCGCGCCGGGGGCUCUUCCACCACGGGCACCCGAGGCAGGAGAACGCGACCGCCCGGGGCCUAGCGAUGCGCCCCGGCAACUGCUGUGAAUGCGGAGGGCAGCGGCCCAAGCCCGGCCUCGCUCCCCGAGGCGGCCUUUGGCCUGUAAUGCCUUCCCGGGAAAUGGGAGACGAAGUGGAUUUGCUUUUAUUGAUGGUUAGGGAUCCUUAAAUACCAGCGGAUAUGUUUGUCCUGUGAGCAGGACAGGCCCCGGUGUCACAGCCUCUCCGCCCGCCCCACCGCGGUGUGAAGACAGACGCUAAGGGCCGCUGGAGACGCGCGCGAUUGCAGCCGUUUCCACGUGCGGAGCUGCGGGAACCGAAUGCGGUCUCCAGCCGUGGGUUGAGGAUGGGUGCUGGAAGCUGACUACUACUGUCUGAGCACCACGUGGAAGCUCAAAGGAUGUUCUUGAUGAGGAUUUUGAUCUUCAAAAGAUGCUUGGAUCACUUAAGAUUUCCUGAAGCCUGAAGAGUACUUUGUCUUUGGAGGGUCCCUGAAUAUAUGUUUAAGACAGGACAGGAAUAAAUGUUUCAGUGUGCUCCUUUGAGACUUACGUUUUGAGUGUCUAUUAGAAACAACUCCAAAUUUAUGUGAAAUCUCAGCUAAAAUUAAUAGUCAGUGCUCUCAUGGUCACUAGGUACCUUAUGACAGCUGCUGGCAAGGCUUUUCGGCUAUGCACUCAUACAUCACAGAACGAACCUAGCUGGAUCAUAGGUGUGCUUUAAAGCAUUCUUUGUACUUUUUUUGUGUGUGCACUCAAGGUUGGCAUAUCUUCUCAGAAGCAGGAAAGAAUAAGUAGUGUAUUUGAGUAUCCAGAAAAUUUUAUUUAAAGCAAUGUACUAGGAGCUGGGAACACAUUUAUAAGCAAAACACAGUUCUGGAAGCAAGCAUCACAGAGUUAAAGCUUCCUUUGUAAGAUGAAUCUCAUGAUAGGAUUUGACCAAGUCAGGGAAACCUGAGAAAGCAAAGUUGAGACUAAAGGUAGGUGUCUUUUUUUUUUCCCAAGACAAAUUGGGAAGGAACUUGCAGAGAAACCUUGGGCUAGAAAAAGAAAACUCCAAGUCUGCUUCUCUAAUAACUGGCUGCUUUCCCUCUUCGGUGCUCUGGUUUGGAGGUGAGGCUCCAUGUUGCUGUAGGAGCUGGGAGUGUCAGAAGAUGGGGCUGCGGAGGUAGGUUAAGACACCAGACCACUUAAGGCUUGGGCUUUAUUUUAAAGCAAGAAAUAGAAAUCUAGAAGACAGUUUAGAGCAGGUGGGCCUAUAGGCAGAAUGACUAGCUUGGACCAGUGUUGCUAAAAUAAGGACAAAGCCAACAAGAGUUAGUGGGGGUGUCCGUUGUGGCCCUAAGUCCAGUGGGGGAGGGGGGUAGCAUUUACUUGUAGCCUUCGAGAAAUCUAAGUUGUCUCUUGGUAGAACACUACUGUAGUCUAAACUACAGAGUUAAGGCUGUGGGUAUAAAUGAGAUGUGGGGUAGAGAAGUCCUAGGUCUGAGGUUUGAUGACUCCAGCAACAGCAUGAGCUGCAAAGGAUGGUCAAAUUGUAGAAACAAAAUUGGAUUGCACUGAGGCAGGGAAGAGCUGAGGACACUAAAACUCCUUUCCAAAAGUUUAACUGACAGUGGAAAAAAGCCAGCUAGAGAGGAAUCAGUGGUUAUAAAAAACUGGGUUGCUACCAUGUGGCUGAGAUAAUGGCUAAAAGAGGCUGAAUUAGGAGAGAUGGAAUCUGAAGCAUGGGAAUCUCCUAGACAACUAGAAAAUUAGGGGUAAUGGCAAUUGAGGGGAGGACUGCCUUAAGUAUUUUCCCUGUAGGUUUAAAAGUCAGACACAAAGAGGAAAAAUCCAAACAGGUCACUGGGGAAACAGGUGAGAUACUGGCCAGAGUAGGACAGCUAAAAUCCACACAUAGCCAUUUUUCUUUUUCUUUUUUUU